rnacentral:lncRNA from 1 species
AAAAAUCGUACAGAACUUAUUUGAGUUAUAGAUAAUUUUAAAUCGGCUAUUCAAUCUUCUAAAAUUUUAAUUUUUUUAUCCAACUUUUCAAUUUAUUUUUUUGAGUCAGUCGAAGAUACUUUGACUUUAAAUUUUAAACAAUAUGUAGUUGCUAGAAUUGUAUGGAAUAUUAUAACUAAAUCUGUAAAAAUAAACGACAUGUUUACUUUUUUAAGUCAAAGUGAAUAGAUGGAUUCAAAUCAAACAAAUUAAAAAGUUAGAUGGUAAAAUCAAAAUGUUAAAAGAUUAUAGUGAAUUGCAGAUAUAUUUCUGUAAAGUUCAACUUUCAUACGUUAUCCUUGCAAAAAUUCUAAUGUUUUCAGAUAUAUCUCUGCCGUUAGAAUUCGUUAGAAAAGUUUAGUUAAUCAUAGAUUAAAUACUUUAUCCGGAUUAAUUUUUGACAUUUUUACUCUUCUUAUAUUAUACUGUUAUAACUUUUGGAGGGACAUAUUUAUGAUGGAAAAAUUAAAAAUAUAAACAGUUUUCUAAUGGUUCUCUAACGGUAACAAACCAGAGGAAUAUAUUUAAAAAUAUUAGGACUUUUACAGAAAUAACUUAUAAAAGUUGAAUUUUACCGAAAGAUAUUUAUAAUUCACUAUAUUUACGGAGACCUGAAUGUAAUUAACCCU